AUGAGUAUGAUAUACGCAACCCAUAUCCCCAAGAGGGAACGAAAGCAUGCACUACGGGAUGUCUAUGCGAUGGAGCCAGUCGCCCCAAAGUUCAACCCAUUGUCUUCCUGUCCGAUCUCCUUCGAUCGCAGUGACCAUCCUACCAGUAUCCGUCAUGGCGGUUCGGCCGCAUUGGUCCUCGACCCAAUCAUUGACGAAUUCCACCUUACACGUGUCCUCAUGGACGGUGGCAGCAGCCUGAACCUGCUUUAUCAGGAUACAGUAUGCAAAAUGGGCAUCGAUCCCUCAAGGAUCAAGCCAACCAAAACCACCUUUAAAGGUGUAUUACCAGGUGUAGAGGCCUGCUGUACGGGCUCAAUCACAUUGGAAGUAGUUUUCGGAUCUCCGAACAACUUCUGA
rnacentral:rRNA from 1 species